CUGCCGAUGCCGCUGUGAUCGACUACGUCACCGACGACCCCUCCUUCUUGUCUGAGCAACCAGAUGGUGGAGUCCAGAAGCCAGAUGCCACCUUUGACGACUGCUACUACACCGAGGGCGUCUACUAUCACGUAACGGAGACCGCCGAUGACCAGGAGUAGUUAGGAGGCUCCCAGGCAGGAGGCC